CGGGAUGCUCCUUGAGCCCCUUCUCCGGCUGUUAACCUCCGGGGAACGGUUGUGACCACACCGACACGUAUUUUACAAAUAAAUCAUUCUUGCGGCGGCGGGUCGAACACGUUUAUUUAUUUUUGAUUUUCUCAACAAGCAUUUACCCAGCACCUGUCCAGUGAAACAACUUGAUAAGCGUUUCGAGGAGCGUCCGCCGGGUUAGGAGGCCACUGCCUGGCAGCUCGUGGAAGCCUCAUUUGCAACGCCCCACCUCAGAUGUUUUGAAGAUCGUGACGUCUUGUAACUAGCAUUGUGUGCACAGAAUCCUACUCAAGGAACGUCUUGGCCCAGCGAUGCAAAGAACUGAAAUUUCAAGGUUUUAUGUCUAUUGCUGGAUGGUCGGGGUAGCCCCAGUAACUGGGAACUGCUCCGCAGUCCGCUCACGUGGACCCCUGUGGGAAUAGCAAGCUGGAAGAGCCUGUAUUGUCCUCACAAUAGUAUAGAAGAAUUCAAGAGAGGAGAGAGAGACAGCACCGAAUGAAGACUGUAAAAGAAAAGAAGGGACGCCAAAGAUUGAGAAAAUCUGCCAAGACUAGGAGGGUAACCCAGAGGAAACCGUCUUCAGGGCCUGUUUGCUGGCUAUGCCUUCGAGAACCUGGGGAUCCCGAAAAAUUAGGGGAAUUUCUUCAGAAAGACAAUAUCAGCGUGCAUUAUUUCUGUCUUGUGAGUAUGAGGCCUCCUUUGCUUUGAAUAUCCUAUGGCUUUUGGUGUACUGACUGUUCUCUGUUACAUUCAUCCUCAGAUCCACAGUCUUGUUUUUUUGUUUUUCUUAAUAGCUUUUUUGUUUUAAAAUCUAUUUUUAGGCUGGGCGCAGUGGCUCACGCCUGUAAUCCCAGCACUUUGGGAGGCUGAGGCAGGAGGAUCUCUUGAACCCAGGAGUUCGAGACCAGCCUGGGCAACCUUGUCUCUACAAAAAAAUU
rnacentral:sRNA from 1 species